rnacentral:ncRNA from 1 species
CAGCGCCUGCAGCUCGAUCCUCAAGGGGGUCAAGACCGUGCGCUUGUUUAAUCUGGUCGCGCCGCUGGCCCCGCCCGCAGUUUCACCCGCGGUGGAGGCCACCGCCAUGCGCAGCACGGAUACCGCUCGCCAGCUGGAGCUGCCGUUCGCUCCGGCCGGCGAGGCCGCGUCCGGCGCAGUUACCGGGCCGAGGCUUCGACCCGGCGACGUGGAUAGCGCGACAGGUGG